UACGUAGGGGGCAAGCGUUGUCCGGAUUUAUUGGGCGUAAAGAGCGUGUAGGCGGCUAGAUAGGUCCGUUGUGAAAACUCGAGGCUCAACCUCGAGACGUCGAUGGAAACCAUCUAGCUAGAGUCCGGAAGAGGAGAGUGGAAUUCCUGGUGUAGCGGUGAAAUGCGCAGAUAUCAGGAAGAACACCCGUGGCGAAGGCGGCUCUCUGGUACGUGACUGACGCUGAGACGCGAAAGCAUGGGGAGCGAACAGG
rnacentral:rRNA from 1 species